AACGCGAAGAACCUUACCUGGGCUCGAAAUGUAGUGGAAUCCGGCAGAAACGUCGGCGUCUAGCAAUAGACCGCUAUAUAGGUGCUGCAUGGCUGUCGUCAGCUCGUGUCGUGAGAUGUUGGGUUAAGUCCCGCAACGAGCGCAACCCUUAUCUUCAGUUGCUACCAUUUAGUUGAGCACUCUGACGAAACCGCCUCGGAUAACGGGGAGGAAGGUGGGGAUGACGUCAAGUCCUCAUGGCCUUUAUGUCCAGGGCUACACACGUGCUACAAUGGCCGGUACAAACCGCUGCAAACCCGCGAGGGGGAGCUAAUCGGAAAAAGCCGGCCUCAGUUCGGAUUGGAGUCUGCAACUCGACUCCAUGAAGCUGGAAUCGCUAGUAAUCGUGGAUCAGCAUGCCACGGUGAAUACGUUCCCGGGCCUUGUACACACCGCGCAUA
rnacentral:rRNA from 1 species